AAGUGGAGCAAUCCAUGAGUAAAGUGGCGACCGGGUGAGUAACACGUGACCAAUCUACCCUCGAGUGGGGGAUAACUCCGGGAAGCCGGGGCUAAUACCGCAUAAUAUCUUCGGAACGGAAGUUCUGUUGAUCAAAGGAGCAAUUCGCUUGAGGAGGAGGUCGCGGCUGAUUAGCUAGUUGGCGGGGUAAUGGCCCACCAAGGCGAUGAUCGGUAGCCGGCCUGAGAGGGCGCACGGCCACACUGGAACUGAAACACGGUCCAGACUCCUACGGGAGGCAGCAGUGGGGAAUUUUGCGCAAUGGGGGAAACCCUGACGCAGCAACGCCGCGUGGAGGAUGAAGUCCCUUGGG
rnacentral:rRNA from 1 species